GACGAACGCUGGCGGCGUGCCUAAUACAUGCAAGUCGAGCGAACCAAUAAGAAGCUUGCUUUUUGUUGGUUAGCGGCGGACGGGUGAGUAAAACGUGGGUAACCUGCCUGUAAGACCGGGAUAACUCCGGGAAACCGGUGCUAAUACCGGAUAGAUUAUCUUUCCGCAUGGAGAGAUAAGGAAAGAUGGCUAUUGCCAUCACUUACAGAUGGGCCCGCGGCGCAUUAGCUAGUUGGUGAGGUAACGGCUCACCAAGGCGACGAUGCGUAGCCGACCUGAGAGGGUGAUCGGCCACACUGGGACUGAGACACGGCCCAGACUCCUACGGGAGGCAGCAGUAGGGAAUCUUCCGCAAUGGACGAAAGUCUGACGGAGCAACGCCGCGUGAGCGAAGAAGGUCUUCGGAUCGUAAAGCUCUGUUGUUAGGGAAGAACAAGUAUCGGAGGAAAUGCCGGUACCUUGACGGUACCUGACGAGAAAGCCACGGCUAACUACGUG
rnacentral:rRNA from 1 species